UACAGAGGUGGCAAGCGUUGUUCGGAUUUAUUGGGCGUAAAGGGUCCGCAGGCGGCUUGGAAAGUCGGAUGUGAAAUCCUAGGGCUUAACCCUAGAACUGCAUUCGAAACUUCCAGGCUCGAGCGCAGGAGGGGUGAGGGGAAUUCCCGGUGUAAGGGUGAAAUCUGCAGAUAUCGGGAGGAACACCAGUCGCGAAGGCGCCUCACUGGACUGCCGCUGACGCUCAGGGACGAAAGCCAGGGGAGCAAACGGG
rnacentral:rRNA from 1 species